rnacentral:tRNA from 1 species
GGUAUCUUGGCCGAGCGGUCUAAGGCGCCACACUCAAGUUGCGGUCUUGAAAGAGGCGUGAGUUCGAAUCUCACAGAUACCA